UAGAAGGAGAUCAGUUCAGUCAGGCUGGAGCUGUCCCUCCUAAUUCCAUGAUGGCUGGGUCUGAUCCCUUGGCCAUCCUGUAGAUGCUGUGUGAUCACAUUCAUUCAAGAUGACCUGUUCCAUAAUCUUGCCAGGCACUGAGAUCAGGCUGACAGGCCUGUAGUUUCCCCAGAUCCUCCUCCUCACCCUUCUUGUGGAUAGGCAUCCAGCUUCCAGUCAUCUGAGGCACCCCCACUGAGCCAGGCUUGAUGAUAUGUGAUUGAGAGGGGCUUCAUGAGCUAAUCUGCCAGCAGCCUCAUCAUCCUAUGAUGGACCCCACCCGGUGCCAUAGACUUGUGAGCAUCUAAGUGGAUAACAGAGGGGCUGUUCUGCUCCCUGUACCCAUCUACCAGCUCAGGAGUUCCUACAAAAUCUCCUUGCCCAUCCAGGCCAGUUAUUUACCCUGCCAGCUCAUCUUUCAGCACAUAAAGCCUGCAGCACGUUUCUCCAAGCCUCAGGAGUGGGACUUCUCCCAACAGAUUUCAUUUGCACAGUAGGCAAACCCACAGCAGAUAAAAAUAAUCCCAAUGCAGACUCAUUGUCCAAAAAGGACCUGGAUAAUUCAGGUAGUGUUGAUACCUGAUUUCUAGAGAUGGUUGAAGAAGUUUGUGGAGAAUUUAUGCUUGUGAUACUGAAAAAGUAAGAGAAAAGGGAAAUAUCUUAAAACAAGAAACUUAAAUAUUCAUUCUGUUAGCCAUCAAGUGAGAAAUUGACUUGAUUACUAUAUAAAGUAUCUUGUAGAAGAGAAUACAAAUUACCAGGGUCUCUCAUGCAAAGGAGAAAGAGCAAACCUAAUGUAAGCAGAUGUCUCAUAAAGAAGGCACAACAAAUUCAGGUUAUAAAAGCAUGGAAGUGUGAAAGUGUGUAGAGUUGUGCUGGGAACAGAAACAAGAGGAAGUGGAAGAUACCUCCUGAGUCUUUGAAAAUGGGCAGGUUCCUUUAUUCAGGAAGAGAUGCAGUCAAGCACAGAUUACUCAGCUUAAUAUGCAGGUAACUCGGUAAUAUUAAACAGCCUGCAAUAUACAGGUCAGAUGAGCUAGUAAUCACUCCUGGAGUUGAUUACUGAUGAUCUAAAACUCUUUAUUAAUAUGAAACUGGUCUGUCUUCAGCUUUUUUAGCAUGAUUCUGGUUUCAGAUAUUAGUCCAAAGCAUGUGGAUUUCAUUAUGACUGCUGAAAGGGUGUCCAGAACCAGAGACAGAGGUUUCAGACUGCCUGACACAACAGAAAGAUCUCUUUUUCCCCCAAAUCUACAAAGCACAAGUACUCACUCUGGGAAAUUAUUUUACCUGUUUUCAGCAAAUCUUUCAUGUGUGAAUGUAAUGACGUCCUACAGUGUUUCUGAAGCCAAGGAUAAACAAGUAGAGAGAUGUCCUGAAAUUCCAUCCUGCAUUUAAGGAGAAAACACGCCUUGGUUUCUGGGGAAAGGACCCUUAAAUGGGAAGCAGGGAGUGAUUAACAAGAUUUUCUGUCAAUAAAAGUAUCUUCUGGAGUGUCAUCAAUGAAA